UGCUGCUGACCUAGGUAGAGUGGCACCUGGUGGCUGGUGCCUGUCUCACAUCAGCCAGGGACAAAGCGACUCCUUGUUUGUCCCGGCUUGGCUUUUGGUCUGUGCCUAUGCCUGGUUCCUGCCCUGUACACAUUG